GACCCAAGGCGCGUGGGUUCGAAACCCGCAGGGGACAACAUUACAUCCGGAGCCAACUUCUCAGCUCCUAAAAUAAUGAGAUGUGAACUUGCCAAGUAGGUACCUUCAGGUGGACCUACUACCUGAUUUAGCUGAUUUUUCCUGGGCUGGGAACCUGUAUUGCAUGUACCAAUCCUGUCUUUCAUUAAUUUUCCUAUGUUCCUGUUAUAUUCUUGGCAUUGUUCAACACUAGCAUUCCUCCUGUAUAAUCAACUCUUGCCUGUAUUUAACAUCACACAAGGACUCGUCAUAAGCACUGCUUGCAUACGAGUAUAACGGA
rnacentral:sRNA from 1 species